GCUAUAUGCACACUCACUUCCGCAUUCCAAGUCGGCCAGCCAGGUUACAUCCGGCGUCGACGGCGCACAUAGCGUCAAUAACAACUAUGGCAUUUUUCACUCGGUCCCUUCAAGAUGUCCCAAAGGUAACGGUCAACGACGUGAGUCGAAUCAUACAAAAGUUAUGUCACACUUCGACAACCAAGAAAGAGAAGGGCUUCAAAUUGUAUGUGUCAAGCUACAUCCACAAUUUUGAAGAUUGUGCUUGGGGAUGCCCGUCCUGUGCAUCUACAAAGCUGCCAGUGUACCUGUGUGGCAGGUACAGCUGUGUGUAAUCAUGUGGCAGCACUGUUGUACCAGACUGCACAUUAUUGCCAGCUUAGCAUCACCUCUGUUCCCCCAACACACAGCUGCACAGAGACUGAACAGAAGUGGCAUAAGCCAAGAUCCAUGGUAACUAAUGUUUUUAACAGGGUACUUUGUGUACGAUCCAAAGGGGCAGACAGUGUUUGGCCUUGUUGAAAUUAAAUGCCCCAAUGUUGCAAGCUAUGUUGACUGCCCAUAUAUUAAGAUCAGUGAGGGCACACACACAUUAAGGAAAUCUCAUUCCUACUUUUGGCAAAUCCAGGGCCAGAUGUUGAUUUCUGGUUUAGACUGGUGUGACUUUGUUGUCUACACACAGGAGGACAUGUUUAUUCAGAGGAUUCCCAGAGACAAUGAAAUCACCAAAACAAUGAAAGUAAAAAUUGAUUUUUUUUAUUUUUAUUGUUACCUCUUUGCUUCCCUAAAUAAUUAGAUUCUGAUUGCCUGUCACACUUCUUUAUAGAGUGCUGUUAAUUUCUCUUUUCUCCAUUUCUCUUACUGGCAGUAACUCUUAUUAGUUCAAUCCAUUUCAAAAUAUUUGUACAUAUAUAUUGAUUCAAGUUUUUAUAUUUUUUCUUAAUUGUAUUACUAUGUUUCUUGUUGUAUUAAUACUAAUCUAUUAUUAAAUUACAUGUUACAUGUUC